AUGAUAACUUCACUGAGCGAUCCAAGUCAUUUAUCAAAAGCCAUUGGCAAAAAUAUGUCUCUAUUGAGCCAGGCUAGGUUAGGUGAACUAGAAGUGAAAGAUACUGUAUCUAGUUACACUAUUUAUUAAUAUAUUAUGUAUUAAUGCUUUAUUAUCACCACCACAGUAAUAUCUACAGGCUCCAAUCAAGAUGGGGACCUCAGUGUGCAAGAAUCCACCACUUGUCUUUUGAUGACAGCUGCUGACCAGAAAGAGUUCCUGGACUUAAGGUGGCAUCUUGGAGGUGACUGGAGAUCUGCAUAGAUGGGCAAAUCUGGGUUCAUUAUCAUGCAAUCCUAUUCUAAUAUUAUUACUGCUUCUCUUCAGAGGAAUAGAUAAAAGAGUUAUGAAAACUACAUAAGUAAAAAUGCACAAAACUUUCCCACCAUACACCGGCUACUCUGAAUUUAUUGCAGCAUCCCUAAGCAGAUUGAAUGGCAAAAUGGUACUAUUACUUCUGAUUAUAAACUGACUGCAUAAGA